AAAUAUUUUGUUUCUUUAAACAAAAUAUUUGUUCAGAGUUUCAGAGUUGUUUCAGAUAUUCUAAAGUCGACAAAAUGCCGAAAAUAGUGGAAAAGCCGCAAAGAAAGAGUAUCAGGAAAUGUUAUGCAGAAUUGAGGGCAGCUCAUCUGAAAAGUAAUCCUGAUACUCUUUCAUCUACCAUUUUCCAGAUGGUAUCAAACAUUUUCGAUCUGAACGUUUCCACAAUCCGAAACAUUGUUAAUGAAGAGGACGACAAAGAAUUUCCUCCUAUUGGGAGACCCAAAAAGGUGGAAGAAAUUGAGAAGUUUAUUUUUAGAAAAGACCUGCAACGGCGAAUUUGGGAUUAUAAUUUGAAAAAUGAAUACUUUAGUGUUGACACUCUACUUAAUUAUGCAAAAAAUGAUUUGGAAUAUACCGGGGGACGGACAUCACUUUACAAAAUUUUAAAAUCGAUGGGUUACAAAUACAAAAGGGUGGAUGAACGCAAAAUUUUAUGUGAACAAAAGCAUGUCGUUGCAGCCAAAAUUACUUUCCUGCGAAAAUUUCUACAAUAUAAAUCUUCAGAUGAAGAUAUCAGAUUCGUGUUCCUCGACGAAACUUGGAUUUACCAAAAUGGUUCUUCUGUUCGUCGAUGGACACACGAAUCUGAUAUAAAGAGCAACCCAUCCAAAAUUAAACAUGAAGGAAAACGUUUUACGGUUUUACACGCAGGAAGUAAUUGUGGAUUUUUAGAGGGGUGUAGUUUAAUUUUAAAUUCGGCAAACAAUGACAGAGACUAUCACAAUACAAUGACCAGUGAAUUAUUUCAUAAUUGGAUCAUUAAUCAACUGAUUCCUGCAUUAGCUAAGAUUCCUGGAAAAUGUGUGGUUGUAAUGGACAAUGCCCCUUAUCAUUCGGUGCAAUUGGACAAGCCACCCACAUUUUCCAGUAAGAAAAGUGAAAUGCAGGAUUGGUUGAUUAAAAACAAAAUUAAUUUCAGUCAAAAUUCAAAUAAAAAACAACUUUGGCAAUUAAUACUACCCUUUCGAAAUAGAAGUCAACGAAAAUAUUUAGUGGAUGACCUUUUGAAAGAGCAUGGGCAUGAUGUUCUUAGAUUACCCCCAUACCAUUGUCAGUAUAAUCCUAUUGAAAUGGCCUGGGCGUUCUCUAAGAACUUCUACAACAAGAACAUAAAUUCUCUUCCCUAUUCCAAAGAUAGGGUUUUGAAUUUAUGGACUUUGGCUCUUUCAAAAUGUACAUCGGAAAUGUGGAAAAAUUUUUGUAUGCAUUGUGAUAGGCUCAUAACUGACGACUGGGCUAAAUUUAUGGGUAAUCUCCCAAUAGCAGAUAUUCCUCCAUUCAUUAUUUCAUUGGGAGAAUCAGAUUCUUCUGAUGAUGAGUCUGAUUCAAUCGAUGACCUAAUGAAUGUGGAAUAAUAAUGUAGAGGAAAUUUUGAGGUUGUCCAUUCUGCUACAAAAGAUGAAAUGUUUGAGGUACCUACACCCUCAGUAUACAU